rnacentral:lncRNA from 1 species
AGCAUCGUGUUGUUUGCAAGCCCGCAUCUCACAGGUCCGUAUUAAGAUAAACCGCGAUGGAAGGCAAAAAUUUUGGAACUGUCGAAGUUGUUUCUCGAGGUCCCACAUCUCUACCGGUAUCCAGAAUAAAGAUAGAAAGAGAUAGCAGAGAUCUCAUCAACAGUAUCUAUGACGGCCAUAUCAUAUCUAGGCUGAUAUCCAGGACCAUAACAAGAUCCCGGGCGAUGGAGAUAUGGUUAAAUAACAAUCUAUUUUGAAAUUUAAAUAUUAAAAUAUUAAUAGAUAAAAAAAUUUCCAAACCUG